GCAUUAUUUAAAAUUGUCUGUUUUAUUUUGAAUUGAAUUUACCAUACAUUUUCCAUCGCUUAUAAAAACAAACGACUUCAACCACUCAAAAGAAAAAAAAAACAAAUAUUGGCACCCCUUCUAGUUCAAUCCAAUCGCUUCAGAUAGAUUGGAGGGAUGUUUUAGUGAAGUUCAAAGCUUGUUUGUUUGCACUCAUUCCAAACGUUCACAAUAGGGGAUGUGGGAAUGAUGUUACAUCUCAGUCGUAGUGGUGUUUUUCGAACAACUGGCAUGACUUUGGAUUAUUUUGAGGGUUGAGAAGUGAACAUUGUUUCAAUUUAUACGUUUUAUAAGUUUUCAAAACUUUUGUCGAACUUAUUGAGAGAGUAGAGCGAGUAAAUGUUUUUCAUCAGAAUGUGAAGUUUAAAUAAAGCUUUUAGCCGAGCCUCAGUAUCUUCUCUUCAUAGGUACAUGCACUAGCGCGCCGGAAUCUCAUCAAGCAAUGUAGCAGCAGCGGGGAGUCUAGGAUCGAAUCUCGUCAAAGCAAUGAAAUCAACAAAAUAAAUAUUCCAAUAAUUAUUCCCCAUAAAUUGCUUCUAGAAUACAUAAAUAAAAAAAAUAUGGCAAAUAAAAAUUUCUAAAUUGCUAAUAAUUUUUUUUACACCGAUUUUUAACUUUGUUGUUGUGCUGUUUUCUCAACAGCGAUAAUAUUUAUAUAAGAACAUGACAUCACAAAAAUAUUCGUUUCAACAUUUUCGACUUGUUCAUCAAGAAUUUUUUUGGGGUUUUGCUGUCAUCAGUUAUUAAACAUGACUGAAUAGAAUAUUCUUAACAUGUUUCAAUAGCGUUCUUAUCAUGUUUUCAUAACAUUUACCCAAUACAUCGUAAAAAGUUUAAACGAAGUGUUCAACUAAUGUUUUGAUGACAAAAUUUUGAUUAGUUGUCAGUCAUGAUGAAUUUUAGUAAUUUGAAGCUUGUUGUAUACGAGUCUGGCAAGACGUUCCAAGAUUAUUACUAGAACAUAUAAAAAAACAAGCCGUACUUUAACAUGUUCAACAACAGCGAAACGUGCGCUAAAACCGUCGUUAUAGAGUUCGCGGGGAAGUUUGGAAAACAUACUAAAUGAGUUCAACAAUCAGUUCGGAAUUCUUUUAGUGAACAAAGUGUGCUACUUGGGAAGCUUCCGAAAUUUAAACAAAUCAACUUUCAUUUAAAGGACGUGCAGAUGAAUAAUUCAAAGCAUUUUUGAUUUUGAUUAUUCGUAAAUUGAUUAAGAACCGAUUAAAAAACCGCUUUGUUAACAACUGGCGCUAAGGACCUUUUGAAAAAUAACCCGAGAAAUGUCAAAUAAAAUCGCGCCCGCGAUCUGUCACUGCAAAUGACAGCGUGUCAAAAAAAAAUGCGCACCUCAUUUAGUUUGCAGACUUUUUAAGUUCCCCGUUUGGCCUGAUGAUGGUACUGUCGGCAGUGUCGCCAAGCGAUUAUAUGGGAAGAGCAACGAGUUGUAAUUCUACCUAUACCUAUUCUAUGAUGAAACUGAAAUAAUAUCGAAUGCGGCACUACACUCAUCCAAAAUAUCUAUUGAAAUUCAUAUGGCUAACCUUAUAGACACCAACAACAUCCUCAUUUUUCCAUUUCAUAUGCGUAACUUAUGGCUUAUGAGCGAUUAUACUAAACAUAUAAGGUUCACUUAUUACUUUCAUUGCUGCUGUUUAUGUGAAAAAGUCAUAUGGUAAACCAUAUAAACAGUAAAUGUAGUAUGGCGGAGCACAUCUAACAUGUAACAAAGCAGGUUCUUGCAUUGUUUAGAGGUUCGAGUAAUAUAAACACAUUUCCGUCUAGAAGUGACCGGCUGAAAGAUCUUCGGACAACGCGAAAUAUAUAAUCUGCAUCAGCAGCUUCAAAAUCGUUCGCCGUUGUUUGAGAGCCGGUGAUCAAGCGGAGCCUGAGAUCCCUAAUUGAUCGGUUUUAAGAGGCAGCUCCAUUGAAGAAUAAGAUUGAACACUUGAAUGGAAACUACUGGUUGUGUCGAGGUGCACCGAAAACAGAACCGCAAAGUUGAACGCGUCCGUUGAAUUGACGCUUAGCAAGGCGGCCAACAAGUCAGUAGCGCAAGUCGGUGACCCGAAACGAGCAGAAGCUGCAGAAGGAUGUGACGAGCUGGUCAUGCCCGGGCGGCAGAACCUGAGGGCGUACCAAAGAACCACAGCGGAGUGCGGAAAUAAAGGUUGUCAAACCGUCACCCGAAGCACCUCAGGUCGAACAAGCCCCUUAAUGUCCUUAACCUACCGAGACCACCCCUUUCUCCCGGAAUCAGUUAGUCCAGCGAUUCUCAACGGGGGUACCGGGCCUACUUGAUUUACACGCAGGGGGUACCAGCCUAGAAGAAGGUUGAGAAUGGCUGAGUUAGUCGUUGAGGACGCCGUAGAGAGCACCGCUGACAUUGACCACACGCUGCCCAACAUCGUGAAGAAAGUGCACAAAAACAUAACCACGGCAGCAAGAGCAAAGCAAAUAACAAGAGCAAAAAAAAACAGCAGUACCAAAAGUUGCAAGCUUCUCAUAUUCAAAUUUCAUAAGGUUUACUUAUGAAAGCAACAGUUGAUCAUAUAUAUUACAUCUAUAAGGUUAUAGAAUCAGUAAAUGAAUGAAAUUCAUUUACUGAUUCUAUAAAAUCUAUAUGGCUAGUGUAUGGAAGAAAUCUAUAUAGUAUCCUUAUGGCUGGUAUGAAGUAGAGAGCCUGGAGUUUAUUAGAGAACGGCCAUCUAAAAAAAAAAAGUACCAAUCGAAGCACGAGAACUGUCAAACGGAGGUACCAAUCGAGCAGAAAAAAAAUCAGUUGGCGUUCAAUCGAUGGGAAGUAUUGUAAUUAGGGUGAUUUAUAUUUAAUUCGAAAAUGUGCAAAACACAAAUUGAAUACAAAACAAUUUAAAUUUUCUUUUUACAUUUCAAUUUUGAUUUGAUUCGUAAACUCAUUAUGUCGUUGCGUGUUAAUGCCGCUCAAAAAUGGUCAGUUUCUGGUGCUAAUAACUUCGUGGGAUUUUUUUUUGGAAAUAUUUGCAAACGCAGCAUCUUAUUUUAGAUUUACACCAACCAUAAACUAUGUUUAAACUCAGUUUGUUUUGGUUCAAUUGACUGAUCAAAAUAGAAUCUGAAAAGAGUCACGCAGGUGCUUUGACAAUUGAGGUUUUGCAGCGCGACUGCGUUUCAAAUGUAGGUGGCGCCAAAAUAAGGUUACUUGCCUAAAGUCGUAUGCCUUUCUGUCGAUUAAAGAACAAAAUCGCUUAUUUCUCAUGAUUCCCUGCAUUAAUCAUCAUGAAACUGGUUGCAAAAGACGAGAAAAAAUUUUUGCUUUAGAAUAAUGAACAUCAACUUUUGAGCGCGCAAAAAUUUGUGACCUUUUUCUUUAAAAAACAUGUUUUGGAACACGAAAAAAUGCGUUUCCCUGUACAUAUCAAGGAAAUAAACAGUUAUAUAGUUUAUAACAGAUGUGUUAACGUAUAUUCAACAAUUUUUAAUGAUUUUUGACAGACUUUCUUGCGAAAUAGUCCAAAUUACUAGCUUUUUCUAAAUUUACAGUUUUCUCAUAGAAAAAUCAAACAAAUAUUGGAAAGUUAUACACCAAGUUGUUGGAAAUAAUUUUUCUCAUCCGAAUCCGGCAUAAGUUUUAUAAAAAUGUUGAUUAGGAAGGAAAAAACACAUUUUUUUCUGAAAAUCAUAGGUUUACGCUAUUUGUUCAUAGGUGGCGACACACGUCUUUUAGCUUUGCUGCAAAUUCUCUAUUGCUGUGCUGCAAGCUAUUUUGACUGAUAGCAUAGCAUAGCAUAGCAUAACGGGUCUGCACCACGCUGUAGGGGGUGCCACAAUGGUCAAUUGAAUAUUCUUAGACAAUUUGAUUGCUGCCCGGUACAACCAAACAUAUAUAAGAACGUAAAUUUCCACACUGUGCUCCAAGGCUACGCCCAUACAGUCCCGUGGGGAUUUGGGAGGGGAUGUUUUUGUUGUUCACUAGUGGCAUUUAGUUUUGUAAUAAUAAUAAAUAAUAAAUAUAAUCAGGCUGAUUCCAGGAAGCUGUAAACUGCCCAUAAUUGAAAAUUCGGCUAUUAUGCCAAAUCAAGUAUUCCGAGAAAAACGCGUUUUUGUGUUUGUCACAAAAUCUCCGUCAAGGCAAUUUCCCAUAAGAGUGGCAUAUUAGCCGUUUGGUUUUUCUUAUCGGCAGCCAAGUCUAAAUAUUAUUUCAGUAAAAUUCAAGGUCCAGAAGAUGCGUUGGAACGUCCUCUACCAGCUGGUGCUAAUAUCUCGUUUUUGCCAAAAGUGGAUAUUAGCCGUUUUUUCAAUGGUGGGCAGUAAAGAGUAGCAGUAAUUUAAAAUACAAAUUCUCCAGACAUUUCCCAUGCUCUUUUAGAAAGUUUCGUCAAUUUGAGAAAUUUGAUCAUAUAAGGUAUGAGGAUAUGGUAUGUUAGGAAUAGAAUAGGAUAAGUAAUAAUAUGAAUAUUUAAAUAAAACAUGUAGUGAGUAGAUACAUUUACAUAUAGACAGUUAAUUGGAAAAUAAUUCCAGGAAUCUGUGUA